UAAUGAAAUAACUGAAAGAGAAAGUGCUUUUGAGAUUGGCUGCCUUAUUAAUUAUUUUAUUCAGUUAUUUUACCAUUUGAGCUGACGCGUCCAUCAGAAGACCCAUCAAGAGCAACGCAAGUAAAAGGAGAUGCAAUUUUGUCCCCAUCUUGAUCUCUGCACAUACAAACAAUUAAUUAAUAAAUAUUAUAAGGAUAAAAAGAAGAAAGAGAAUCAAUUUAUAAAAGCAACGAGAGUGGUGCAUUUCUUUGCGUUCUUCUUUGUUCCUGGGUGCAGUUUGUCGCAAGACAAGCACUUACCACAAUUGUAAAGAAGAAAUUCGUUAAACAAUAACAAGUCUAAAACAUACUGAUACAUUUCUUUAGAUAGUAACAUAUCUGAAAAUUUGAAAAGUGGACAAGACUACGUCACUGACAGUUUAGAAACGGAUUCAACGGAAUCAAAGUGAAGUUAAGCAUCAUAUUAUGUACUUAAUGUGGCCUCAAUUACAGUCAUACUUGACAAAUUUCCAUAAUAGAUUUAUCUAAAAUGCAAGCCUCGUUCGACAAGAUUUUAUUUUAUAUUUUCGAUUCACUUUAGCCUGAAGAAUCGCCACUCCCCUCGCCCCUCGUUUUAUUAUGC